CAUAUCUUAAAUGGAUGACAGUCUAACUCUCAGAAUAGGCAAACAACAGUUGAAAUCGCACCUCUGUUACAUAUAUUACAAGUUCAUUCCCUUAUUAAUCACUCAUUAAUGAAUGCCUCCUAAUUGAAAUCGAGCGCUGUCAUCCCCACGGCUAAUAAUCGUUAGAUUUCUGCAUUCUAUUUAGUAAUAUUCUUGCAUUAUUACCAUCAUAUUCUCUGUCCACUUUCGUUUGCUUCUUUAACUUACAGUUAGAGAAAAUACACUUUAAAAUAUAAUAAUGGAAAACAGCUAUAUUAAAAAUCAAUAUUGGCAUAGCAGAUCAUUCAUAGUAUUAUAUAACUUCUUGAUAUAAAAUUGUUUCUUUUUUCAAAAAAAAAAA
rnacentral:misc_RNA from 1 species